AGAAUGAACGCUGGCGGCGUGCUUAACACAUGCAAGUCGAACGGAAUCCAAGGAGCUUGCUCCGAAAGAUUUAGUGGCGAACGGGUGAGUAUCACGUGAGCAACCUGCCCCCGAAGACUGGGAUAACACCGGGAAACCGGUGCUAAUACCGGAUGUCUUUCAAUGAUCGCAUGAUCGAUGAAAGAAAUGUUUUUUCGCUUUGGGAGGGCUCGCGGUCCAUCAGCUUGUUGGCGGGUAACGGCCCACAAGGCUACGACGGGUA
rnacentral:rRNA from 1 species